rnacentral:rRNA from 1 species
GCAUAUCAAUAAGCGGAGGAAAAGAAACCAACAGGGAUUGCCCCAGUAACGGCGAGUGAAGCGGCAACAGCUCAAAUUUGAAAUCUGGCCCCAGGCCCGAGUUUGUAAUUUGCAGAGGAUGCUUUUGGCGCGGUGCCUUCCGAGUUCCCUGGAACGGGACGCCAUAGAGGGUGAGAGCCCCGUACGGUUGGACACCAAGCCUUUGUAAAGCUCCUUCGACGAGUCGAGUAGUUUGGGAAUGCUGCUCUAAAUGGGAGGUACAUUUCUUCUAAAGCUAAAUAUUGGCCAGAGACCGAUAGCGCACAAGUAGAGUGAUCGAAAGAUGAAAAGCACUUUGAAAAGAGGGUUAAACAGCACGUGAAAUUGUUAAAAGGGAAGCGCUUGUGACCAGACUUGCGUCCGGUGAAUCACCCAGCUCUCGCGGCUGGGGCACUUCGCCGGCACAGGCCAGCAUCAGCUUGCCGUCGGGGACAAAAGCUUCAGGAACGUGGCUCCUCUCGGGGAGUGUUAUAGCCUGUUGCACAAUACCCUUCGGCGGGCUGAGGUACGCGCUCCGCAAGGAUGCUGGCGUAAUGGUCAUCAGCGACCCGUCUUGAAACACGGACCAAGGAGUCAACCUUAUGUGCGAGUGUUUGGGUGUUAAACCCCUACGCGUAAUGAAAGUGAACGCAGGUGAGAGCUUCGGCGCAUCAUCGACCGAUCCUGAUGUUCUCGGAUGGAUUUGAGUAAGAGCAUAUAGGGUUGGACCCGAAAGAAGGUGAACUAUGCGUGUGUAGGGUGAAGCCAGAGGAAAACUCUGGUGGAGGCUCGCAGCGGUUCUGACGUGCAAAUCGAUCGUCAAACAUGCGCAUGGGGGCGAAAGACUAAUCGAACCUUCUAGUAGCUGGUUUCCGCCGAAGU